GCUCUCCUUUCCUGCUAAGCUUUGUUUCCUGGCAGUAAUUAAAACCUUCUGCCACUGCCAUAGCUACUGCUACUGCUGGAACUGCCAUAGCCACCUUAGUUUCAUGGUUUGGCAAAAUAUUGGCAUCUGCCACCAUAGGGGCCAGAGCUUCUGCCUCCAAAUUUCCUCUUUUCAUGGGUCCAAAAUUUGAAGAUUGAUUUUCGUAAUUGCCAAAAUCAUUAUAGCUUCCACCACCUCCGAAGUUGCUUCCAUUGUUAUCAAAUCCAUCAUAGCCAUCCCCACUGCCACCAUAUCCACCACCACCUUGACUGCCACCAACAGUGGCACUGAAGUUUCCUCCACAGCCAAAGUUGUCAUUCCCACCAAAACCACCUCCACGACCACUACCAAAGUUUGACCUCUUUGGCUGGAGGAAGCACUAGCCAUCUCUUGCUUAGAUAAAGCUUUCCUUACUUCACAGUUGGGGCCAUUCACAGUAUGGUAUUUUUGAAUGACAAUCUUGUCUACAGAGUCGUGGUUGUCAAAUGUUACAAAAGCAAAGCCUCUCUUUUUGCCACUGCCUCGGUCAGUCAUGAUUUCAAUCACUUCAAUUUUCCCAUACUAUUCAAAAAAAUCUCUUAGAUGACAUUCUUCAGUGUCUUCUUUAAUGCCACCGACAAAAAUCUUUUUCACGGUUAAGUGGGCACCAGGUCUUUGAGAAUCUUCCCUGGAGACAGCACUCUUUGGUUCUACAACUCUUCCAUCCACCUUGUGUGGCCUGGCAUUCAUGGCUACAUCCACCUCUUCCACAGUGGCAUAGGUGACAAAUCCAAAGCCUCUGGAGCGCUUGGUGUUCAAAUCUCUCAUUACCACACAAUCCUUAAGCGUUCCCCAUUGUUCAAAAUGGCUCCUCAGACUUUCAUCAGUUGUUUCAAAGCUCAAACCUCCGAUGAAAAGCUUCCACAACUGUUCAGGCUCUUUGGGAGACUCUGACUUAGACGUGGUGGGAGGGGAGGCUUUAAUGAUGCUUACUCAGCGGUGUCCACAGGCAGAAAG
rnacentral:lncRNA from 1 species